rnacentral:rRNA from 1 species
AUUGAACGCUGGCGGCAGGCCUAACACAUGCAAGUCGAACGAGUGGCGGACGGGUGAGUAAUGUCUGGGAAACUGCCUGAUGGAGGGGGAUAACUACUGGAAACGGUAGCUAAUACCGCAUACCAUCGGAUGUGCCCAGAUGGGAUUAGCUAGUAGGUGGGGUAAAGGCUCACCUAGGCGACGAUCCCUAGCUGGUCUGAGAGGAUGACCAGCCACACUGGAACUGAGACACGGACCAAACUCCUACGGAGGGAAGCAGUGGGUGAUAUUGAAAAAUGGGCGCAAGCCUGAUGCAGCCAUGCCGCGUGUAUGAAGAAGGCCUUCGGGUUGUAAAGUACUUUCAGCGGGGAGGCGUUACCCGAAGAAGAAGCACCGGCUAACUCCGUGCCAGCAGCCGCGGUAAUAC